GAUGAACGCUGGCGGCGUGCUUAACACAUGCAAGUCGAACGAAGCGCUUAAGAUUGAUUCUUCGGAUGAUUUCUUUUGCGACUUAGUGGCGGACGGGAGAGUAACGCGUGGGUAACCUGCCUCACACAGGGGGAUAACAGUUAGAAAUGACUGCUAAUACCGCAUAACCCGAUAGGAUCGCAUGAUCCAGACGGAAAAGAUUUAUCGGUGUGAGAUGGACCCGCGUCGGAUUAGCUAGUUGGUGAGGUAACGGCCCACCAAGGCGACGAUCAGUAGCCGGCCUGAGAGGGGGAACGGCCACAUUGGGACUGAGACACGGCCCAAACUCCUACGGGAGGCAGCAGUGGGGAAUAUUGCACAAUGGGGGAAACCCUGAUGCAGCGACGCCGCGUGAGUGAGGAAGUAUUUCGGUAUGUAAAGCUCUAUCAGCAGGGAAGAAAAUGACGGUACCUGACUAAGAAGCCCCGGCUAACUACGUGCCAGCCGCCGCGGUAA
rnacentral:rRNA from 1 species